CAUAGUUCCAUGAGAAUUUUAUGAGAAGGAAAAGGAUGUUGUACAUGGGCAGAAAGGUGAAAAUUGUGGCCAGAGGCAGAUUGUGGUAAAUUACAAAAUUGGCUCAUAAUCCUUUAUUCCUUCUUGCCUCCAUGCUCUUUGCAAUGUGACUUUGCCACUUUUCUCAUUAAGAGAUGGAUUCUGUUCUCCAUUGCCUUCUGUCUGGACUGGUCUUGUAACUUGUUCUGGUUAAUACAGAGGUAAAUGUGAUGACACAUCAGAAGCCCAGGCCUCAAGCAAGCUUUCCCACUUGUUCUCUUGGAACCCUUCCCAGCUAUCAGAUGAGGAAACCAAGUAAUGAAAAUGUUGAGUAACUGCAUCUAUGUAUAUAAACAAGUAGCCAAACCAGGGUUUGAAAAACCUCCUAAAUUUUUCCAUUGCACUAUGUCCUCGGAGACACUACUGGCAAAGACAUUGAAAAGAAUCACACUGCUAAACCAGUAGCAGCUUUUAUCUUCUUCUCAGAUUGUAUACAUGCAGGAUAAAAGUGUUUCUAACACAUAGACUUCUAUAUUCCAGCAUAAAGAUGUAUUAGGCGCAUUUAUACUUUUACAUCGAAGCCUGUUUCAACAUGAACGGAGCCCAGGGAAGUUGGUGACUUAAUCCUCGUUAUACCCUGAUUUUGGACAAAUUUUACAAGAAGAAUAGGACUUCUACUUCUCUAUGUCUACAUGCACCUGGAACAGUGCUAGGUCUAUGCUUACAAAUUGAUUGGUUCAGGUCACCGCCAUGAGCCUCAGGACAGAAAAUUGCCGGAUAUGAGAGAGAGAGAGAGAUUUGACUGGGCUAAGAAAGAAAUGAACACGAUUUAGAGAUGGAAAUGGUGACAUAUGGGCCUUUGAAGCCUCCCAUGUUCCAGAGAAGCCCCUGUGAGCUGUGACUGCAAGAGUCAGCACCUAAAUUAGAUCAACACUACAACAUCAAAAAGCCAGCUUGAUGGCACAGCGGGGAGUGAGGAAGACUCGGUGGACAAAUCUGACUGGAAAACAAGUAGGCGUUGCAGAUGAAGACCUGGAACCAUGGUAGGAAGUGGGACAGGGAGCAUUUGGACAAGCUGUUCAAGAACUGAUCAUGCUCAUGUGUAUGGGAAAACAGAUGGAGGAAGAGAAAUUCCUGAAGAGCACAAGACUGGUGGGGCAAGGAACAAGCCUACUGAGAUGAGUUGCAGAUUUGAAGAUGGGAGAAAUGGUUUCGUUGUCUACCAUGUAAAAACUCAUUUAUGCAAGAUGCUUGAUAUCUGAAUUUCAAUUUCUUCAUUAUCAAAAUGAAUAUUAAAAAUACUCUACUUCUUAGAGUUGUCAAAAA
ensembl:lncRNA LINC01911 long intergenic non-protein coding RNA 1911